GGAACAUUUGAGUCUUUCAAGAAUGAGAACAACUUCUGUGCUGAUGGUGCAAUCUCAAAUAUCUUCAAGAAGAAUUUAAGACCCAAUUCUGCAGCAUUCUUCUUCAUCACAUUCCAUGACUUGACCACCAGAGCUUCUUGCUCUUCUGUAAAAUCCUUGCAAUCUUCUUCCAAGGUAUUCAUAUUCUUUGGUUGAUAGGCAGAUGAUAU
rnacentral:misc_RNA from 1 species